rnacentral:lncRNA from 1 species
AAGAAUAACAUUAUUCAUUUAAUUAGUUCUCCCCUGCCCACCUCCCAACCCUUCCCUCUUUUAUUCCUGUUUGGCGGCCAAAUCGAUUGAUUCUUUUUCUCUUUGGUUUUCUUCCAGGAGCAAGAGUUGGAGCCCAUAGUACCAUCCAGGACACUGCAUGCAAGUGGGAAUGUUUUUUAUCAGUUCCAGAUAUUUUAUCGCUCCUUCGGGCUCCUUGUUUGUUCUCACACCCAUGCCACCUUUUUAUAUUUGCUGAAUCGUUCUGAGAACUCGCUGUGCAUCAUGCGUCCGUUUCAUUGUUGGGAAGACUAUCCCACCAGCGAACAGACUUGUCUCCUGGGAUUUUUUCUCUUGACAUUCAGCCCAUCGCAUCGUCUGUAAAGAAUUCCUGUCUCUUGUUGCAAAACAGUGUUGCUCAGAGAGAUCUUCCAGAAAGCAAGGAAUUUGAC